UUUGACCCGACUCGGAUUGAUUUAUAAAGUCGGCCAAUAUUACGUGCCGAAGGCACGUACCAUCUUUCAUUCGGGAUUUCCAAUUUAAAUGAGUUAGAUUUGACAUUAAUCCUGAUUCUAAGGUGGUUUCCGUCCGUGUGUUAAUAAAAUUUCUUUUAAAAUUCAUAGAAAUGUCUGAAAAAGUAUGAAAAACAGGCAUCUCAGGGCGAAGUACCCUGAAAAAGGUCGUCAGGGUACAAGAAAUUUAUGUGCCUCGUCGAGAUGAUUUUUUUGAGGCGUCGUGAGUUAAAAUCCGUUGAUCCGUUGAAUUGUUUCAUAAAUAAAACCAUUUGUGACAGUCUUCCGAGCCGAGCCGAGCAACAGUGAAAACCGAAUUUUCCGAAUUUUAAUUUUUCUAUGUGCGUUAGAAACUUCAAAAAUGGUAUGCACAUCGGCAGCAUGCAUGAGUGUGCGAUUUGGGUCCUUUCGGGGGAAAAAAUUGCGUUUUUCUAUUUAAUUUUGGAUACUUGCAAGCGCCGUCGUUUCCAACAAAUUCAAAGAAAUGCUAACAGCGUCAAAACCGGUUGCAUUAAAAAAUUACCGGUUUUUUCAUAAUGCCAAGCACAAUUUAAAUUCUUUUCAGCCUCAAAGCUGCCUGUUUGUAAUUUAUUUUGAGUUGUAAAUAUUAAAUAAACCUUCUUUUACCAAUUAACACCAGUUUCGUCUUUAUUCGCAACGAUUUGAACAUAAUUCACGAUCUCAUUCGUACCGGUACGAAGCAGCGCGCACCAGCGCCACCGCUGUUUUGCAGCAACCGCCGCGACGACUGCGAUUUGCUUUGUUGACACAGCAGGUGCCUGAAGUGCUUCAAAGUUAAUCUCGAUUUUUCCCAUCUUUUCUGACUUUUCCGAUCCUUAGCGAGUGUUUUAGUGAUAGUGAGUGUGUGCAUCGUGUUAGUGAGAGUGCGUUUCAUCGAGUGUAGCGUGUUUUAAGUGCGAAAUUCGUGAGAAGAAAAGUGCCCCGUGUGUGUUGUGAUUGCGUGUGUUGUGCGGCCGAACGCAAAUUCGGCGGACAUUUUCGAGUGAAUCGUGCCGACGCGAGUGUUUCUGUGUGUUUUGUGAGUGAAAAAGUGAGUGUUUCAGUGAGUGAAUAGUGUUUUUCAGUGAGUGCAGUGUUUCAUUGUGCGACAAAAAGUGUUAGAACUUCUCAUCGCAGCCGGAGACCACGCAGCCGCAUCCCCAGCGAGACCGAGGACAGCCGACGAGGACAGCAGACCACCGUGACAGCAGCUUUGGACCUUCGGACCAGGAUCGCCGAACAAGAUGCCGAGGCCAAAGAAAUCCCAUCGCGGUCGUUUCCAGAAGAAGGCCAAGAGUGCCACGACAGCUUCAG